ACAGCAGUAGCCGCGGUAAUGCGUAGGGUGCAAGCGUUAAUCGGAAUUACUGGGCGUAAAGCGUGCGCAGGCGGUUUGUUAAGACAGAUGUGAAAUCCCCGGGCUUAACCUGGGAACUGCAUUUGUGACUGGCAAGCUAGAGUCUGGCAGAGGGGGGUGGAAUUCCGCGUGUAGCAGUGAAAUGCGUAGAUAUGCGGAGGAACACCGAUGGCGAAGGCAGCCCCCUGGGCCAACACUGACGCUCAUGCACGAAAGCGUGGGGAGCAAACAGGAUUAGAUACCCCCGUAGUCCCUGUCUCUUAUAC
rnacentral:rRNA from 1 species